rnacentral:rRNA from 1 species
CUAUUGGAGAGUUUGAUCCUGGCUCAGGACGAACGCUGGCGGCGUGCCUAACACAUGCAAGUCGAACGGGGCCAGGGGCAACUCUGGUUCAGUGGCGGACGGGUGCGUAACACGUGAGGAACAUGACCUUCGGCGGGGGAUAGCCGGCCCAACGGCCGGGUAAUACCGCGUACGACCUUUCGGGGACAUCCCCGGCUGGUGAAAGCAGCAAUGCGCCGAAGGAGUGCCUCGCGGCCUAUCAGCUAGUUGGUGAGGUAACGGCUCACCAAGGCGACGACGGGUAGCUGGUCUGAGAGGAUGGCCAGCCACAUUGGGACUGAGACACGGCCCAGACUCCUACGGGAGGC